rnacentral:tRNA from 1 species
GGUUAUGGCUCAGUGGUAGAGCAUUUGCCUGGCAUCCAUGAGGUACUGGGUUCGUUCCUCAGCACCA